UAGCUUGGGAGUCUGGCUUAUGGAGGGGGAUAACUACGGGAAACUGUAGCUAAUACCGCGUAGUAUCGAGAGAUGAAAGUGCGGGACCGCAAGGCCGCAUGCCAUGAGAUGAGCCCAAGUGGGAUUAGGUAGUUGGUGGGGUAAAGGCCUACCAAGCCUGCGAUCUCUAGCUGGUCUGAGAGGAUGGCCAGCCACACUGGAACUGAGACACGGUCCAG
rnacentral:rRNA from 1 species